rnacentral:rRNA from 1 species
UACGUAGGGUCCGAGCGUUGUCCGGAGUUACUGGGCGUAAAGGGCGCGCAGGCGGCGGUGCUGGCCCGGCGUGAAAGCCCCCGGCUUAACCGGGGAGGGUCGUCGGGGACCGCACCGCUUGAGGGCGGUAGGGGCCGGUGGAAUGCCUGGUGUAGUGGUGAAAUGCGUAGAGAUCAGGCAGAACACCUGGGGCGAAGGCGGCCGGCUGGGCCGUCCCUGACGCUGAGGCGCGAAGGCGUGGGGAGCGAACGGG